ACUAUUUGUACAAUAUUUAGGUGUAAAAUACUUUUUUCUUUCUUCAAUGGCUUGAUACCACAACAAAAUAGUUUGUUUAGAUUCACAUCAGAAAAUUGUAACAGAAAAUGCAGGGGAGUACAGGGCAUGGUAUUGUAGCAGAAAAGGAAAAGCAGACAAGCUGAAGAGGUGGGCAAUUUGAGCAUGGCAAGGUUGCAUGCUAUGGAAACUUAGCAGAUGAGACACUUGUCAUAUGCUCGUUUAAUUAAGGUAAUGAAAUUCUUUAAUGCCCAUGGAGUACCAGUCAGUUAUGUUGAGAAUGCUAGUGAUCCAUAAAAAGACCAGACAGAGGAGUGCAGAACUUGAAAAGCUGUGGAUUCGGCAACAAUCACACUCUAACAAGCCAGUCCAGUAGGGCCUGUACAAUGAUUGAAGCCCGACAAUGAUGAAGUUUUCAUUGAGCUCUGCCAGAAAGGUGUUAAGACUCUUCUUGUAGCUCUGCCAAAAUGGAUAUCCACAAGGUUAAAUUGAUUAUAGUAUUUACAACUGCAGCUUUAUGAGUAAGCACAUAGUCUUGAAAAGAUUGACAUGGAGCACAGAGAAUUGCCUCUUAAAUGCACUUCAAAACUAGGGAAGUGUACCAGUUUUAUAUACACUUAAGAUUUAUGGAUGUCUGAUAGUGAAGACCUUUGAUUGUGGAUGUCCUCCUAUCUUAAUCAAUGUUAUGAUACAUCCAUUGAUUAAGAUAGGAGGACAAUGAAUGCAUAACCUGGACCCUACAGUAUAAAGAUUUGUUUAGGAGAAUUAGGAAGGUUCAACUAAAUGGCCAAGGAAGAUCUUCCUGUUAAAAUCAAAGGCGUUAGGCCUCCUGUCGAUACCAUCUGCUGCAACCUUAACACUUUGAGUUCGACAAAGAAGUGCGCUCAUGGCAAUGAAAAUGCAGGGGAGUACAGGGCAUGGAAUUGUAGCAGAAAAGGAAAACCAGACAAGCUGAAGAGGUGGGCAAUUUCAGUAUGGCAAGGUUGCAUGCUGCUGGAAACUGAGCAGAAGAGACACUUGUCAUACACUCGUUUAAUUAAG